rnacentral:lncRNA from 1 species
GUUUCCAAAAAAUAUUAAUCUCAAAAAAACAAUGUCCUAGGAUUAUUGUACUUUCAAGCAGUUUCAUUGGUUUUUACCCUACAACAUCUGUCUUAAAGUUUCAAACUAGGUCGGUUUCGUAGUGACUUUAUAAAGCGAGCUAAUAUCAUUUCAAUUCUUUGAAAUGAAAUGAAAAUCGACUAAUAAAACAUUUACGAAUACGUUUAUAAAGCAUUUUAUUAGUGAAAGUCAACUUGAAAUUAUCUUUACCUGAUUAAUUCUCUAAUGACGAAAAAAUUUUAUCUGUGAAUUUAUCAUUGAUGAAAAAUUUUAUUAAUAAAAUAGUAAAAAAGUUUUCAAAAUUUUAUUAUAAUUUUUGGAUAAAUGAAGAAAUUAUUUAAUAAAAAAAAUAAUCACUCUUUUCGACUUUAAAAAUUUAUAAAAUUGUGUUUAUAACCUAUAAUUUACUCAACUCAUCAAUUCUUUUAUUAGUUAGUAAAUUAUCACGCAAGAUGGCACCAGUAUUCUAAUACUUAUAUAUUGCACUAUUCCAUGAGAUUAAAUAAUUAUACUCGAACAGUUCUGAAAUCGAUUAUCUAAACGAUUUUCAUGAAACAAGACCAAUCAUGAAACAUAAUCGAUUUAUUAUUGUUGAAAUAAUUUCGAAGUAAGAUAAAUGCAUUUCGUUUUAAGUUUCAUAUCUGCACAAUCGAUUUCGAUAUUCUUUGAGACCAAGGAUGAUGACUAUACAAAUGAUCCACAAUCAUGAUAACGAUAACAUUGGAAUAUGGAAACGAAAUAAGACGAUGUGAAAUCGAAUGCGAUAAAUGGACGAUCGAGAUCAUGAGGAGAGAAUUAUACACGAUUAAAAGAUUAAAUCGAUGAAGGAUUAAGUCCCAACAUAUUGCUUUAUACUAAUGAAUGUCUUAAAGAUACCGGAAGUCGAAAAUUAGAAAAGAAACCUACGACUUUCGCGAGAAGUUUUAACGAGGUAAACGUGCAAACACCCCAGGUGACGAAUUCAUUUCUAUAUUUACCUGAGCAAGAGAUAUUGAAAAAAGAUGGAUUAUACUAAAGAUCUACACUUGAAGAAUAAUAAUUUCAAAGAAUAAAGAAUCGUGACCAUGAUAGACUUCCUGCUUCCUGUUUCGAUUCACUCUUCGUGAAUGUAUCAUGUCGUUCGAUUCAUUAAAACCCUGAGUGUGAAUCGAGGGAUAUUUUGAAAGUAAGUGUGAAAUAUUUGUAAUAAAUAAUUCGUUUAUUGAAUAUUAAUAUAAUAACCGUAAUAUUUAUAUGGUUUCAAAUAUUUUAUUUAAUUUAAUUCUCAAUUUUAUCCGAAUUUCUCCAAGAUAAUCUUAUUCAAAUUAUUGUUAUUUUAUUUUGAAAAUUUUAAGAGAAAAAAAUUACUUAAAAAUUUUUUUCUUUUAAGAAAAUUAAGAAAGAAAUAUUAAAAAUUAAUAUUUCUUUUUUAAUAAUAACAAUUUUUGUUUUUAAAAUUAAAAUAUCUCAAGUUUUAUUUUUUUAUUUUUAUAAGUUUUUAUUUUAAAUAAAAUAUUUAAUCAUAAAGUACUAUCUAAAGUAAAAUGAUAGUCACAUAAAAUUGGAAUAAAGCAGCAUCUGUUAAAACAAAUUUUCUCGGCUAUGAUUAUGCAUGAUAUUUGUAAUGUCGUCGACAUUGGAAAAAGACAGAGAAUUAUUGACGUUGUGAAAAACAUACGACUUUAUCCAUAAAAGUGCGUUGAAAUUGAUACUGGGAACGCAUUUAUGUGAACGAUCCCGUCCUGAAAACGGAUGCGCAUUGUCAUCAAUGACAUUCGACGAAUAACAAUAAUGACUUUCACAACGCAAAAACAGUAUUAAAAAAAAGAAAAGAGGAGAUA